UCGGCCUCUGGAAUUCUGAGAACUAAUUUGCUAUUCGGUGACAUAAGAGGGGGAGUGCGCUUUGCUUUCCUGGGGUCUGGGGCUCAUUCCUCCUCUCUUACCCAUAAACUCAGCUCCUGGAGCUAAAUUACACGAAAGGGAGCGAGAGAUUCGAACCGUUGGGAAAAGUCUGUUAUAUAUACUAGGUUUAGAAGCGAGUCAGAGAAAAAACAAACACCACAGCUCUUUGCAGCUAGAAUAGUAGGCACCACGAGAAAAAUAUUUGCCAAGCAGUUUUCGAAGCCUAUCUGAAGCCGGCUUGAUGGCAGGGAGAGCUGGAGAGCGGAAGAAUGUGCAGAGGGAGGGAGUGCUUGGUACUUUUCCAUUCACAUCUCCACAGUGGCUUUUCUUGUUUAUUUCAGCCUCCACCCGCAGGAACCUUUCUGCUGCUUGAAAUUCGAGUCAUUAAACUGUUCCCUGUGGUCAGACUACAGAUGUUUGGUGCAUGUUUCCUACAUGUCGGUGUCUAUGUAGCAUAUGUACCUAUAGAAACACAUACACACAAACGUGUAACUCCACAGGGGCAUAGUGUGAGGUUGGGGCGGGGGGCGGGGGGGAGAGACACUGGAUAGGUUGCCAAAAAAGCCUUUGUUUCUAAUUACAGUUCUGCCUGGAAGUCCUUAUGGGACCUAGAGCAAAACCACUUGUCAAGACUCAGUUUCCUUGACUAUGUGAAGGAAUAACCCAGAUGAUAUGCAUGAUGUCUAUUUGUUCAAAAUUCUAUACCCAUGUAUCUAAAUGCAUAUUUACAUAACUUUAAGGUGGGGAGGGAGAGAUGGAAAGGAGCUUUGUGUACCUGGGAUGGGGGAAAGGGUUAAAAUUUAAACUUCUAAGUAAAGAAGGCAAUCCCAGAAUUCUCACCUCUAUCAAUUUUUAACCAAUUGUAGACCAAAGUCUGGGAUUAUGCUGAGUUGGGUCCAAAAGCCAACUGAAGAUUUUAAAUGUUAGGAAUUGGAAGAGGCAGUUUCUAAGACCUUGUACUUUUGAUCUCCAGCAUUCAGAAUCAAAUGUGACAAUUCCCAAGUGUCUUUUCUGCCCUAGAAUUCUUCUGUAGUUUUGUUUGUUUUUGGAAACUGUCCUAGUUAAUGAUAGAAAGGAGAUGACACUUGUAAACUGGGCAGUCUUUAAGCCACAGAGCCCCAUGUGGGUGUGAAAAAUAUGUCAUAAUGUGGAGAGAGAGAGAGAGAGAGAGAGAGAGAGAGAGAGAAGAGAAGAGAAGAGAAGAGAAGAGAAGAGAGAAGGGGGGAGAGAGAGAGAAAAAGAAAGAAAAACCUAGAGAGAGAGAUUCCUAGUAAGAAACUUAGAGGUAACCCAGCCAUCACUGCAUUGAAAGUAAUUAUUUGAAGUCAGAGGAAAUUACAGAUGAGGAGUUUGCCUCAAAAAAAAAAAAAAAAAAAAAAAAAAAAAAAAGCCUUGGUCUACCAGAAGAAACUUGAAGUUAAUGAAAGAGAUAUUUUCCAUCAAAUUAAUAUUUCCUAUAUUAAAAAAAAUAUUUCCUAUAAUUUUUAAAUCUUCAUUCUUGAAAAAGAAAAGUCUAAAAUUUUUCAAAUCUGAUUGUCUAGAUAAAUUAAGGUCUUUAACAGCAGUGACCGCCGUACUACCACCAUCUCUCCACUGGCUUAGACCUUCUGGAAUAUUAUUGGUACCCCAUGGACAAGGAGAGGUGAGCCAGUUACAUAAUAUACUAGAACUGGGAGGGUCCUUAGCAAUUAUCCAAUCCAACACUACUGAUUUUGUAUAAUUGGAAAUUGAGGCCCAGGCAGAAUGUUUUUGCCACACACACUGAAUCACUGACAGAGCUGGAUCCAGAAUUUGGAUGCUCUGGUUUAAAUCUGGGCUAUGGCUUUUCCAUGGCUUAUCAUGGAAAGAGGAUUUGGAGUGGGUAGCCCUGAAAAAUAGCCAUUUUCUGUGGCCUUACAUUCACAGAAGGCCUCACAUUUGGACUUUUGACAUGAUCUCCCCAGAGUUUCUCCAUCAGUCUUUCCAUACAUAGACAGAUGGAAAGAAGAUCAUUUUACACGUGUUUUGUGUUGGGUCCCAGCGUAGGACUCAGUAUAUGAUCCCCCACAGGCUCCUAAGGUACUGUGAUUUAAUAUAGUUAGUAAAUCUAUAGUUGUUUUAUGAAUGGUGCAAUUGUAUCAUAGUUGAAGAUAAUAAUUUUACAUUUAAAAUAUCAUUUGGCCUGAAAACAAUGAUGCUGCAGUAGCAGUGAGCACACCAAGCAGAUCGUGACCUGAUACAUUCUCCAGUAUUGGGAGGCAAGGCUUUUGAACAAAUGGCUAAUUCUAGUUCUAGGACUGGAGCAGGAAAUACACAAAAUUAGGAUGGAACAUCUUGUAGCACCAUAGAGUAAGGAAUUGUUAAAAACAAAAACUGUAUCAAUGAGGGAUAUUUCAAAGAGAUCCUAAAGCCACCUGAAGAGCUCCAAUGGCCAAAUCUGGAAAAUUUUGAGCAAAAAAAUAGAGUAAUAUUGAAUUACAACCCAAAGUAUAAAAUGAAUAUCCAUGAAUCCACACAGAUAUAAAUAAAUUAUUGAAUAUAUGAAUAAAUGGUAGAAAAGAUAUAAAUCUCCCUUGCAGAAGAAUUCCAAAUAAUUUAUGAAGAUACACUGCCCUCAAGGAGAGGAAGUAUAACUCCCUACUUUUAAGUGUGAGCUGUGCAUGGUGCCUUUCUUCCAAAGAGGACAGUAUGGGAGGGAGGAUGAGGGUGAGAGGAAUUUUGUGUAGACAAACCUGCCAAACAGAGUACAUCAAACAGGUCAUCAAGGUCAACAUCAAUAGUGAUAAACCAUGGUGAUUGUAUCUACCUUUGAUAUGAGGUGAUGAAAACGGUUCUCUACCUACAUGACUCCUCAAAAGCGUCAAGGUCAUAAAAAAGAAAGGAAAGUCUGAAGUAGCCAAGAAUAGCCUGAGGAGAUAUGACAACUUAAAGUAAUAUAGUAAUCCAGAUGGGAGCAUGGAAUAGAAAAAGACAUAAGGUAAACCUAAGCAAACCUGAAUAAAUGACGGACUUAAGUUAAUAUGGUGUCAAUAUUGUUUUGUUAAUUGAUACAAAUGUUCCAUCGUAUUGUAAAAUGUUAA